rnacentral:rRNA from 1 species
CCUACGGGAGGCAGCAGUGAGGAAUAUUGGUCAAUGGGCGGGAGCCUGAACCAGCCAAGCCGCGUGAAGGACGAAGGUGCCAAGCAUUGUAAACUUCUUUUGUCAAGGGACAAAAUCAGGCUCGAGAGCCUGACCGAGGGUACUUGAAGAAAAAGCAUCGGCUAACUCCGUGCCAGCAGCCGCGGUAAUACGGAGGAUGCGAGCGUUAUCCGGAUUUAUUGGGUUUAAAGGGUGCGUAGGCGGACUGUUAAGUCAGCGGUAAAAGCCCGGGGCUCAACCCCGGCGAGCCGUUGAAACUGGCUGGCUUGAGAUGUCGAGAGGUAUGCGGAAUGCGCAGUGUAGCGGUGAAAUGCUUAGAUAUUGCGCAGAACUCCGAUUGCGAAGGCAGCUCGCUGGGCCGUCACUGACGCUGAGGCGCGAAAGCUGGGGGAGCGAACAGGAUUAGAUACCCGAGUAGUC